UGUUAGGUCUUUUUAUUUCUAAUGAAAGAGAACAUUCUUUCGAUGUAGUGUGGCUAAAACAAAAUGAGACGAGCUAUGGAGAAGCUAUGGAGAAGGAUAAACCACCACUCACCGACCAAGAAGAAACGGAAAGGGAAUGAAGUGGAUGUAGACCAAUCUGCAAUUUACCGGAUUAGCAGCUGUGUGGAUAUGUGAUUGAAGAUGUACAUGUAUCUGAGAUCCUUCUUCAAGUGCCUCACAUUUUCAGAGAACCACUGUUAAAAAGGAAUACAUGGGACUACCAAUUUUGGAUUACAUCUGGAUUGAGAGUGCACUUUCACAGAGGGAGUCCACUGCAUAGGUGAGCAGAGAUGAACUCCAACACCAAUGCUAGAAUGAUCAACAGUGGUGUUCAUUCCACCAGUGAACCUGGCCCCACCCCUCCCCCUUUACCUCCCGGUGGACCCCCUAGCCUGAUGGCAACGGGGGCAUCUUUUCCCCCAUCAUCAGUGGGCGGUGCCCCUGGUGGGGUAAUGGGUGGUGGCGGUGGGCCUGGAGUUACCAGGACGGGACAGUCCAGUGGAUUUGGGGUGUGGUGCGAGAGGUGUAACAGUCGGCUGGUCGAGCUGAAGAAGCAGGCCGUGAGAUUGAUGGUCAUGCAUCCAAACCUCAUGAAAUUGGCAAUGAAGGUAAGACCUAAUUCCUGUAAAAUCUUUUAACUCAGGACUUUGCAAAGAUCUUGAGUAUAUUUGUGGUACUCAGAUGCCAGAUGAUACACCGAUCAACAUGUUGUAAAUGCUUUAACAAAGGGACUUUGAUGAAACGAAAUGAACAGUCCGCUCCCAUUUAUUUUCAUCUUCAUUAGAUGUAGAACUAUUAUGUACACGUUCCUCCAUAAUGUGAACUUCAUCUUCAUAGCUAACAUAUUUCUAUAUUAGAAUAGAUGUAUUUUUCAAAGGUACAUGUAUAUAGGAUGAAGAGUGAAGAGAUCUUGCUUCCUAUAUCCAAUGCAAGUGCAUCAAAUAUCUACUCUCUCAGCUUAUUAAACUGAAUAGUGCUAUUAUAUGCGUAGGCCUGUGUUUGUGUGAGACAUAUUUUAUGUAUGAUUGUGGAAGUGGUCAUUACAUUUGUUUUUAAUUUUUUUUAUGGGACAUAUAUUUUUGCACACACUAUUUGGGGGGGGGGUUAAAGUCUUUUAGUUGUGUGAUUAAAUUAAUAAAGGUUGGUUGGAUAAGGUUAUGAUAAGUUACAUACAUUUCUGAUGUGAAAAAUUGAACAUACUUGUAGGGUCAUGUAAAGUUCCUAAUAGUUGCCAUCUCUCUUCCGGAAGCACAUACCAAAGCAAUAGAUUGAGCCAACAUUACCUGUGCUGAUACCCAGAAGCCUUUUCUACAUGCCAUUAAAGAUAAUACAUAUCUAUUUAACCUUCUUCAUUGUGGUCCUAAUGUGUGUUCCUUAGAUACGAAUGGUAGAUAAUGACAUGCAGACCCCAAAGGAAGGGAAUGAAGCCUGUAUUGAUUCAGGUGUUGUGGUCGCUAUCAAUGAUGGUCUCAGAAUGUCUUUGCUUGGAUUAACUCACCUAUAGAUAAACCACAGUCGCACCAACGAAACCGACUCCAGACCGUCCGAUGGUAUGUCAUUGGAAAACAACACGAUGGCUUUGGUCGGUCUGGGGUCGGUUUCGCCGUUGUGACUGUAGUCCUUGCAUAUUCUGCUUUUUGAAAUUUAGUUUAUUAAGCCAGCAACAUGCAUAUGAGGUAUAUGUCAUGGACCGCUCCUUGACGAGACCAUUUAGAGAAACCAUGAUGAUAUCCAUUGUAUUAACCCAUUGGCGUCUGAAUGAUGUUGUUACAAGUAUGUUUUCCAUUGACACUAGCCAGCAUUUAUAAGGGAGCUCGUCCUCCAACGUGUUAACCAGCAGAAUCAGUGCAUGUGUGGAGGGAUAUUUUUCUUUUGCAUACGUAGUGUAUACAUCACCAUUCCCAAAUUGAUGAAGCAUUGAUCAUCAUCAUGUGGGAUGAUGGAUGCCCCAUGAGGAUGGAUGAGGACUGAUAAUCUGUAUUCAAAAGGCUCUUCAUAUUAGAGCACAUGGCUAGUAAUGUUGAUACCUUCAUGUGUAGCUCUAUUUUUAUAUUGAAUAUAAACUAUAGAGAGAUUCAUAUCCACCCAGUCACAAGUUUUCUUCUUCAAGCUGCACUGCCUCCUUCAAUUCUAAAGAUUCUGGCAGGUGCAAUACACAUUUAAAUAACGAACACCCUCCUCUUCUACAAAAAGUUGGUUUUAACAUGCAUAGGUUGUAACUGUCCUACACAUGAUAUAUAAGUAUUUGCAUCCUUUCCGAUGGAUGGAGUGUUUUCCAACUGCAUUACACCUGCACUGAAUAAAUAGUUCAAUGUAUAGUUUGCAGAAGUCCAAGUAUUGAUAUCAACAGUUACAUGUCGUUUACUGAUUGUAUAUUUUGUCACAAAACACAGGAUUAAAAAAACGCCCCACAGAAUCGGUAUCAAAAACUGAAGCCCCCAAUCGUUGAGAAUUAUAUAGAAUAAUUUCAAACAACAAUGACUUAAAACUAAAACAUGGGUUUAGUGAAUGUGAACCGUUUCUAUAAUACGAAGGAAGGCACCUAUUGCUAGAAUGGGUUUUUAAAUGUGCAUCGGAUGGAGGGGUCAGUCAACUGCAUAGACCGUGCCUUGAAUGCAAGCGCCCCAAUUGAAUAGUGGUCAUUAGCUAGCCAAUGGGCAAUAUGAUCUCCCCCAGGGGAGUGAUGUUACAUUCAUGAAGUAUUACUCCUUGGCACAGUGACUGGCUGAUUCAAAUGGAUUCAGCUUAAAUCACUCAUUAAUUCUUUGACUGUCCAUCCUAUGUCCUUGCUUGAAAUAUCAUCUUUUAUUAUGCUCUCUCUUCAUUCUUCCCUUCUAUAGGCCUAUAUAUAAUUCAACUUUCAUCACUUGAAUACUGGCUACUUGUACAAAGAUUAGAAAGAUUGAUGAAUAACUUCAACUUUCUGGCUCUACGUUUAUUAAUCUGGUUGUAUAUGUAUUUAUAUCUUCCUUUGAAAAGCUCAGACUUGUCAUUAAAAAAAAUAAUUGAAUUUUAAUUCUUUUCUCUUCCUUGCCCUUUUCUGUGAUUGAACUUUCCUUCAUUGGCAUGCUGGAUUUGUUGAUUUUGUUUCUUUGUUAAUAACAUUAUUUCACUUGUUGUUGAUCUGAGUGGCGUAUAACAAUUUCUGUCAGGAAAAAUGGGUCAAGGGUCACCAAAAUAGAAGAAAAUGGCAUGCAAUUGUAUUUAGUAAAGGGGGAGUCCAAGGCCCUUUCACUGCCCAUGGGUCCACCCCCGAUUCAUACAUGUAGUACUUUUUUUGCUUUGCUUUUUGUGUCAAUGUUGUGUGCUCAUUUAAAAUGAGGACCUUUCUUAUGAAAAAAGCGGGGGUUUCAAUAAUUAUUCAUCUCUGUCUGGAUUACAGUAUUUUAAUCUUCUUUCAUGGGGUAUCUGUAACCUUUAUUUCUUUUCUCUCCUGCUUAUCUUGUUAUUACUUUUGAAGAUUAAUUGAUCAUUCCAGCAAAUUGGUUUUCUGAUUAAUCUGAUUUUGUUAUUGAAGACAAUUUUUUUUUAAUGGAAUAGUAAGAAAUCAGUGUUUGUAUAAAAAGCAAUCUUUAUAUUCUGAUUGACUUCCUUUGUAAUCUUUAUUCGAUGGUAUUUGGAGGAUCCUGAUUUUCUUAUUCAUCAAAUUUUGAAUAAUUGAUUUGUUAUUCGAUGAACUUAUUAUUAUUUUACUAAGAGAGGAUAUCCUCUCAUUACAGGUGCCUUCCCAAAAAAAAACCCUUAAUUCUAUCUCUUUCAUUUUUGUCUCCAUUCUUAGCUUUUUAUUCUUAUUUGUGAUGCUUCAUGUUUUAUAGAACAUAAACAUCGAUUGUGACAUCAUUCUUUUGAAAAAUCUCAAGGCUGGUGAUGCUCAACAUUAUCACAAUGAAGCCACUAGAGAUUGGAAGAAUGUUGUUUUUUUUAUAAAAGGGGGAGGGGUGAGGGAUAAGCCUUUUUUUAUGAAAUCAAAGAAAAUGGACAGGUACCAAUAACAAUAAGAUAAAUGAAAAUGCAUCAGCACAUGGCGGUUAAUGAAGAAGAAUGUAUUGGAAGAAAGAACGUGAUAGAGCCUUGAAGAGAGGUGGGUGGGGUGGAAGUUAAAAUGAGAGAAUUAAAGAGAGAAAGAAAAUGUUUGUGGGUGUUUCUGAAGGGGGGAGGUGCAACAGCAAGUUUGGCAUAACCAGCAAAGCCAUAAAAGGGUGACAGAUUUUGUGACAACUUGCUAGAGUCCCAGCUUAGAAAUAAAAGAAAAAAGAAACUCUAAUGUAAAUCCUUCACUUUUAGGAAUUCUACACUUAAUUGGCUUGAUGGAGAAGGUUCAGAAUCUGCACCGUUCGCAUGAUGGAGGAUAAUACAGUGGGCGGAGCUCCCAUUAGGGAAAUGUUUCUCUCUUUUUUGUCUUCAUGAUAAUCUAUGUUAAAUAGCUUGUAUUUUGUUGCCAUGGUGUUUCAUGUAGAGUAUGAGUUAACUACAUCAAGUGAGUCACUAUUAUCUUACAUUAUCUGAGGUGGGGGCUGCACAUAGUCAUGUGACCACACAGAAGACAGGUCAUGUGAUUAAAAAAGAUGAAUUUGAUAGACCUUACACGAAAAUAGAACAUUGGUUGUAACUCCUUUUGAUUUAAUUACUUAAUUGGGUGUGAUAAUUAUGACCUUUCAUGGAUCAUCUUGUCAUCAUACUGUGUGUAUCUUUUAAUUAUGUGACUCAUCUUAUGUAGUUUCCCCCUCCUCACUCUUUACCUCCUUCUGUGACUGGAACAGAAAAUAAGUUUUUACUGGGCAAUUCCAUAAAAUAAUCAACCUUUUUGUACGUCCGACCGCCAUUUUUAUCAAGUUUUACUUCACUUCAUAAACUGACCAAGUCAUGGUCAUUAGAGAGCAUUACAGACUGUCAAAAGAACAAGAAAUCAGAGACAGAAAAUUUCAUGAAGGUCCCACAUAAAGGGGGUCGGAUGUACAUAUUUUAUGGAAUUGCCCUACUGCAAAAUUAGUUUCUAUUCUUAGUAUUGGGCUGAGCAAUUUGUUAGCAUCCUUGAAAUGUUUCUCCAGAUGAGCAAGUGAGAUGAAUUAACUGCAAUUAGAGUUGCUGGAUAAGUUUUGAUUUAAUUGUGAUGCUAUCCAGCAGGCAAAGAGAUCAGUUCUAACCAAGUAAUAUACAGGUUGCAGAGUAAGGGCAGUUUCUUCCAUUUAAUAGAUAGAACCAGAGAAAUGAUCAAAAUCCAGAUGUAUUCAACCUUGCAUUCAGAAAUUAGUCUGGUUGUUCCAAUCUUUAAUCAAACCAAUACUUUAUAAGAAUAUACUAUGUUGAACUUUCAAAGUGUUUUUUUUAUUUUCGCGAUGAAAGGAAAUUUACUGACAGUGAAAAAUAUGUGGUAAAAUAUGUCGUCAUCAAAUACAGCAUUUGUUAUGUAGGAGUCAAGGGCCACAACAAAUAUGACAGGGUGGUGGGAAGACCCAUGCAAUGGACGGUCAUAUUGUGCACAUUUCUUGAAAAAAAAAUGGUGGUCUGAAGCCC